CAGAGAGUUGCUCAGAAAAGCAUCCUGACUUGCUGGAAUGAUGUAAAUACACAAACCAAGGCAUUACACACCAUGCAAGGCUCAGUGCAUGGCAAUAGAUUCAGAUACACAGAAGACCGUCAGAGAAGGUGACUGGUUCCUCUUCCUCUGCAGCAUGAGGCCUGAGAUGUCGUGAAGACCAGACACCUCAGCAGAUGACACCGGGACAAUCUUGAAGCCACAUGAUCUCAGAGGCACAUGUGGAAGCAGCCUGGAUCCUGAGCCAUUAUUUGGAGGAAUGUCACCCAAAUGGAGUCACCUGGCCAGGGACAUCAGCUUUGGAUUUUGUGUAAAUGAAAAAUAAAUGUCUAUUUGGUUAAGCCAGAUUGUUUUACCUGCCUUGUGCACACGUUUGUGCUUGUGGGUGUGUGCAUGCCUAUGUGUGGGUGUGUGCAUGUGGCUUAUGCCACAACAUAUAUUUCUUAAUGCAGAUUUUAGUCAAAAACAUGUGAAAGCAAG
rnacentral:lncRNA from 10 species